ensembl:lncRNA novel transcript
AGCAGAAUGUUGAGACUGAAGAGAUCCAAGGCUGCUGGAAAAGACUUCUUAGGAUCAGGCCUGGGAAUUCAGCCGUCAGACCCCUGGGUCCCAGAUCACACACACACACAAAAGAAAGUGGGCAGGGGUCAGCCAAGCCCCCAGGAGACCAAGAGAGCUGGGUUCUCAGCCACCUCCAGUUUCGAGGCUCUCCAAGCCGAAGAACCCUCUGGCUCCAGCUCUACUUGAAGGAGUCUCUACAAAAACUAACCAACCCGAGAACAAAUUCUUGCCCAGGGCCGAUUCCCAGAAACCCCCUCCCCAACAUCCUUUAUACCAGCGUGGUGAGCCUCCCGCCAACCACAGUUCCAACCAAUCUCAAGCCUGAGGUAGGCUUGCCAGGGCUAUGAUUGGCUGAUUGAUCCUCCCAGUCUUGGAAUGUUGGGUCCUUAACAAAGGAAUGAGGAAGGAAGAAUCCCCUGGGUAGGAAAUACCUGAGCGAGUUCAGAUGCCUCGGUCUCAUUUUUCCUCCUCCCACUCUGGCUACCCAUCCAUCUUUCCUAGAGAAAAGUUACCUAACAGGCCAAAGCUGCUAUAAAAUCCUUUAGGAAUCAAACA